ensembl:processed_transcript
CUUCUCUUCCCCCUCGGGGCCUAGAGGAGGCCACGCGCGGGGUCUCCGAGCUCUAGGGUCCGGAGCUCUAGGGUCCUUUUAUGUAGCAAAGUCAGGCCUGGGAACAGAACUUCAUGUGCUUGUAAAAAGUCUCAGGUGCGUCCUCGUUGUUUUAGAGACUUGGAGAGGAAUGGGGGCGGGGGGAACAAAAUCCGAGGACAGUCGAGCCAAGAAAAGUCGGGGCUUCUAGGAUGCCAACCACGCCAAACAGAUCAAAACCAGGACUGGAGGACUGAAGAUGAAGCCGGCAAAAAGUCACCAGCCACGGCUCUUGUAAGGUAUGCUUCACCUCUCCUGCUAAGUCUUCAUCCCUGUCUAUGAGGACAAAGAAGUUACGGGUUAAAUUGGCGAUGGGCCAGGCGCUCCUUGAGGAUGCUCUAAAGUUGGUGAUAGAAAAUGGGAGAACUGAAGACAACCACUUUAUAAAACCCUUGCCUGCUUGAAUUUGUGGUGAUGAACCGGCCCCUGGGAUUUGCUGCUCAGGACCCGAGUUCACUGAGACAUCAGGAGCAAGCACUGGAGGCCGGGUGCUGCUGGACCCAGAUGGGAGCCAUGCAGGACUUGACCAUGGCCUGCACACACUUCUUCCCAGGAGAAGGGGAAUGAGGAAGGUCUGGAUCCCCUAGGGUUGCCACCAGGAUCACCAGAAAGUUUGUUAAAUAGAGAAGCACUUGAUAGAAGGCACCUGGAUAAGGAUGGACAGAAAUCAGAGGCCUUGGCUAUCUGGAUUCUGACUUCUUCAAAAAGAUGAGAUGAUAGAUGAGAAAAGCCCGUCCGUGGUGUUAGAGACUUUGGCCCCACACCCAUGCCGUGCAGCUCUGCCAGGGCCUACCUGCUUGACUCAACCCUUUUUGUUCCCUCACCCUCUCUGGGUAACUGAGAGAUUUAUACCUUGGCUAUCCUGGGAAUGUCUUUCUAAACUAAUAAAAUUGUUCUUGAGUUUCCUUCUGA